rnacentral:rRNA from 1 species
UAAGUAAUCUACCUUCGAGUGGGGAAUAACGUCCGGAAACGGACGCUAAUACCGCAUAAUGCAGCGGCAUCGCAAGAUGACAGUUGUUAAAGGAGCAAUUCGCUUGAAGAGGAGCUUGCGGCAGAUUAGCUAGUUGGUAAGGUAAUGGCUUACCAAGGCUACGAUCUGUAUCCGGUCUAAGAGGACGGUCGGACACACUGACACUGAAUAACGGGUCAG